UGGGCAACCUGCCCUUAACUCUGGGAUAACUCCGGGGAAACCGGGGCUAAUACCGGAUACGACCUUCCCUCGCAUGGGGGUUGGUGGAAAGUUCUUCGGCUGAGGAUGGGCCCGCGGCCUAUCAGCUUGUUGGUGGGGUGAUGGCCUACCAAGGCGACGACGGGUAGCCGGCCUGAGAGGGCGACCGGCCACACUGGGACUGAGACACGGCCCAGACUCCUACGGGAGGCA
rnacentral:rRNA from 1 species